GCCCACGGCAGCUGGGGGCCAAGUGCAGGCCGCGGGGGACUUUGCUGAGUGCAGAGGCAGGCUCCAGGCGCUGGCGGAGCGAGUGAUGGGGCGGACAGGUGCUGCUUCCCAGGCUGUCCCUGAGGUUGAGGUGGCCCUUGAGAACGACCUGCAAGAGGAGCCAAGCCAGCUCAGGAGCCAAGGGAUCGUGCCCACCUUCAGGAUCAGCCUCGAGGAGACGCAGGCGAGCACGG